GACGAACGCUAGCGGCGUGCCUAAGGUAUGCAAGUCGAACGGUAGGGGCAACCCUACAGUGGCGAACGGUCGAGUAACACGUAGACAACCUGCCUCCAAGUGGGGGAUAACCAUUCGAAAGGGUGGCUAAUACCGCAUGUGGUUCUGUAGUGCAUGCUGCAGAUACUAAAGGUUUACUGCUUGGAGAUGGGUCUGCGGCCUAUCAGCUA
rnacentral:rRNA from 1 species